rnacentral:lncRNA from 10 species
GAAGAGCAUGUGCUGACCAACAGACAUGAAUUUCAGCCUGGUAGUUACAACAUUCACAGUAUACCCACAUCACUAAGCUGGGAGGCACAUUUUGAGACCCAGAAUCCUGACACCUCCAUGCCUUCAAAAGGACAGGAGUUUCACUCGUUGCCCAGGCUGGAGUGCAACGGCGCGAUCUCAGCUCACUGCAACCUCCGCCUCCCCAGUUCAAGCGAUUCUCCUGCCUCAGCCUCCUGAGUCACUGGAAUUACGGGCGCCUGACACCACGCCCAGCUAAUUUUUUGUAUUUUUAGUAGACAUGGGGUUUCACUAUGUUGGCCAGGCUGGUCUCGAACUCCUGACCUCAUGAUCCUCCUGCCUCAGCCUCCCAAAGCACUGGGAUUACAGGUGUGAGCCACUGUGCCUGGUCCAUUAAAAACAUUUGUAAAGCUAUGGUGUUGAUAAAGUAUUAUGAAAGACUGCAAAAAAAGAUGGCUAAUUUUUAGUUAUUAUUGCACAUGUUUAGAGGAGCUAAUGACAUUUUCUAUGAUUAAUAAAAGACAUUAUUUAUGUUUUUAUUUAUGUAUUCCACAACAUUUAUUUUAUUUUCUCCAUUUCAGGAAAACCACUAUGUUGUUACAAUAAAGAUUUUCAUGUAAUUUGUGUUCAAUUGAUAGUAAUAAUGUAACAAGUUAAAAAUGAAGGUAAUUGUGUUUAAAAUUUGAGCAUAUUUUCAUCAAAAUGUAAGUUAAAGUGAUUGUAAAUUUUAAGAUCAUAAUUACUUUGUAUAUCUUCAAGAAAAUUAUUGUUUUAAAAUAUUUAUGCCUAUUAAAAUUAGAAGGCAAAAUAAAAAUAUAUGAAUACCAACAUUUUAAAUAAAAAUCAUUUAAAUAA